rnacentral:snRNA from 1 species
CAUAUAUAUAAUGUACUAGAAUUGUAAAGAUACACCAAAGAAUAGUAUGGUUCCUGCACAAGGAUGACUUGCUAAUUCAGGAAAUAUUCCAUAUACAA